rnacentral:sRNA from 1 species
AAUAUAUUUUAAUUAGUUUAAAGUAAAUGAACCAUUAAUUGAAUGACAAUUCUGAAUAAAUGCUCAGAAUCUUCUUUCUUGCCAGAAACAUUUCUCCACUUUUCUCUCUUCUUUCAUAUUUUUUCUCUUUUUAAUUAUUAUUUAAUUGAUGAGUAUCUCAAUCAGAUACUCCGAUAGUAUAAAGCUGUGAUGUAUGAUACUUUGCUCUUGUUUCCUUUGUCUUUGGGGGUUCUUAAGAAAGUUUCGUUGGCUCGUGUAAAUGUCUAAACUUCUGGACUUGAUACCCUAUCAAUU